rnacentral:rRNA from 1 species
GACGAACGCUGGCGGCGUGCUUAACACAUGCAAGUCGAACGGAAAGGCCCUGCUUUUGCGGGGUGCUCGAGUGGCGAACGGGUGAGUAACACGUGAGUAACCUGCCCUUGACUUUGGGAUAACUUCAGGAAACUGGGGCUAAUACCGGAUAGGAGCUCCUGCUGCAUGGUGGGGGUUGGAAAGUUUCGGCGGUUGGGGAUGGACUCGCGGCUUAUCAGCUUGUUGGUGGGGUAGUGGCUUACCAAGGCUUUGACGGGUAGCCGGCCUGAGAGGGUGACCGGGCACAUUGGGACUGAGAUACGGACCAGACUCCUACGGGAGGCAGCGGUGGGGAAUAUUACACAAUGGGCGGAAGCCUGAUGCAGCAGCGCCGCGUGCGGAAUGACGGCCUUCGGGUUGUAAACCGCUUUCGCCUGUGACGAAGCGUGAGUGACGGUAAUGGGUAAAGAAGCACCGGCUAACUACGUG